CCUACGGGAGGCAGCAGUGAGGAAUAUUGGUCAAUGGACGAGAGUCUGAACCAGCCAAGUAGCGUGAAGGAUGACUGCCCUAUGGGUUGUAAACUUCUUUUAUAUGGGAAUAAAAUGUUCCACGUGUGGGUUUUUGUAUGUACCAUAUGAAUAAGGAUCGGCUAACUCCGUGCCAGCAGCCGCGGUAAUACGGAGGAUCCGAGCGUUAUCCGGAUUUAUUGGGUUUAAAGGGAGCGUAGGUGGAUUGUUAAGUCAGUUGUGAAAGUUUGCGGCUCAACCGUAAAAUUGCAGUUGAAACUGGCAGUCUUGAGUGUAGUAGAGGUAGGCGGAAUGCGUGGUGUAGCGGUGAAAUGCUUAGAUAUCACGAAGAACUCCGAUUGCGAAGGCAGCUCACUGGACUACAACUGACACUGAGGCUCGAAAGUGUGGGUAUCAAACAGGAUUAGAUACCCGAGUAGUC
rnacentral:rRNA from 1 species